GUGUGCCUAAUGCAUGCAAGUCGAACGUGACCCCUUGGAUUCGUCUGAGGGUGAAAGUGGCGAACGGGUGAGUAACACGUUGGUGACCUACCCCAGAGAGAGGGAUAACCAUUGGAAACGAUGGCUAAUACUUCAGAUGUCUUUACUAUUAGAAGGUAAUGACUAAAGCUCCGGCGCUCUGGGAGGGGCCUGCGGACCAUCAGCUAGUUGGUAAGGUAAUGGCUUACCAAGGCAAGGACGGUUAGGGGACGUGAGAGCGUGAUCCCCCACACUGGUACUGAUACACGGACCAGAUACCUACGGGUAGCAGCAGCAAGGAAUAUUGCGCAACGGACGAAAG
rnacentral:rRNA from 1 species